rnacentral:misc_RNA from 1 species
GUAGGUGAACCUGCGGAAGGAUCAUUACUGGAUUAGACGUACUGCCUAAUCUCAACUCUUAUGCCCACCCCACCGGGAAACCGAGGGGAAAGUGGCUCACCCCUGCUUACCAGUACCUCCUGUUCCGUCCGGCCGGGGCCCUUGAGGGCCCUACCGAAUCAAACCCCCAUCUCAGCAUCUUAACAAUCUGAACCAAACAAAAUCGUUACAACUUUCAACAAUGGAUCUCUUGGUUCUG